UUCUCACUUCCGUCUUUUCACGUCUGUUGACGUUUGGGUUUCUAGGGUUCAAACAACAAUGGAGGUUUGGAAAGGUUGUCUGAGACGGUCUUUGUAAAGAGUCUGUGGGUUGAGCUUCGUUGGUGUCGUUUCGUAUGAGAUUCUUCUCCUCCAACCAUUACGAGAUGCAUUGAUCCAUCACUCAAUCAAUGCAUAUUCCCUCUCUACAAGGCGGUGAUCUCCAGCUAUAAAAAGGUGAGCUUUCAUCCCGUUACCAUCAUUUUCAUAUUGAUUGUUCAUAUGCAAUUAGUCUCUGCGUUCAUGUUGGCCAUCCAAGCUCCUUUGCCGCUGAAUCAUCAUCACCAUCAUACAGGAUCUAACCAUGUAACACCUCUCACGGUCGUUUCUGUCAAGAACCUCUGCUAGAGAUAUUCAGUUCCUGUCGACAGAGAAAUCGUGGAGAAGAUGGUAUACAGACUUUAAACUAUGAUUUCAAGUGAGGAGGUUGGUCUUCUAAAUAUGCUUUUUGUUAGGCACUUUGAGUGUUUGAGAGUAGAUGGACUGAGAUAACAAAGGUGGGUUCAUGCAGUAAGGAUAAUAAUGUGAAGAACAUGUUUAAGCCACGUUGUUGUAAGAAGAGAGCCAAGUAUGAAACGAUGGACAGCAAGAACAGCUCAAACAAGAAAAUAAUAUUGUUCUUAGACGAUUGUACUACUCCAGUAAAGACAAAUAUGAAAUUAUAUUGCCAAGAGAACAAGGAACUUGCUCCAUAUAAGGGAUUGGGCUGAGGAUGAAGCGAGAAGAAAAACAGAGCAGGAUGUGUUAAAAAAAAAAAAAGAA